AUUGAACGCUGGCGGCAGGCUUAACACAUGCAAGUCGAGCGAGCGGCGGACGGGUGAGUAAUGUCUGGGAAACUGCCUGGUGGAGGGGGAUAACUACUGGAAACGGUCUCUAAUACCGCAUACCAUCAGAUGUGCCCAGAUGGGAUUAGCUAGUAGGUGGGGUAAUGGCUCACCGAGGCGACGAUCCCUAGCUGGUCUGAGAGGAUGACCAGCCACACUGGAACUGAGACACGGUCCAGACUCCUACGGGAGGCAGCAGUGGGGAAUAUUGCACAAUGGGCGCAAGCCUGAUGCAGCCAUGCCGCGUGUUUGAAGAAGGCCUUCGGGUUGUAAAGUACUUUCAGCGAGGAGGCGUUACUCGCAGAAGAAGCACCGGCUAACUCCGUGCCAGCCGCCGCGGUAAUUC
rnacentral:rRNA from 1 species